AACAAAUUAAACCAUGGCUGCAGCUCAAGCUUUACACUCUUUGGUCGUCGGAGGGCGAAUAAACUCAGUACGCAGGCCAAGGCCGCCAACACCACCACCAACAAGAACAUGGCAUGUGAAUGUUAGAUUCCUCGUCCGUGCGGUUUCAGGAGAAGGCCCGCGCAAGCGCGAAAGAUCGCCGCCUGGGGUCGACACCAGAAUACAUUGGGACAAUGAAGACGAAGGUUGGGUUGGAGGAAGCAGUAGUUCCAGUACUAGCACUUCUGGCCAAGCUCAUGACGAUCAGAAAAACCUCUUGGGUGAGAAGUUUGCCGAUUUGCUUAACCAGUCCGCCGAUUCCCAUUACCAGUUCUUAGGAGUAUCAGUAGAAGCCGAUUUGGAAGAGAUCAAAGCAGCAUAUAGGAGGCUAUCAAAAGAGUACCAUCCAGACACGACCAGUCUUCCCCUAAAAGCCGCAUCAGACAAGUUCUUGAGGUUGAGAGAAGUGUAUGAUGUGCUUAGCAAUGAAGAGAGCCGCCGGUUUUACGACUGGACGCUUGCUCAGGAGGCUGCGAGCCGCCAAGCUGAGAAAAUGAGGGUGAAGUUGGAGGAUCCUUAUGAGCAAGACCUCAGGAACUAUGAGCCCGUCCCCGAAGUGGUCGAUCGUCUUGGUGGAAGGAACAUGGACCUCAGUGAUCAGGCUAUGACCGCCCUUACUUUUGAUGUUUUUAUUGUUGUUUUUGCUAUCUGCUGUAUUAUUUAUGUCAUCUUUUUCAAAGAACCAUAUUACUAGCUAGCUCCAUAUUCUAUAACAGAUACGCAUAUUACAUAUAUGUAUUCAAGCAACUGUGUAUAUACAUGUGACUCCAUGUAUAGUGUAUUGUAAGCUCUCCAAGUGAUCAUAAGCGCGGUUUGGCUUACAGAUUGAGAUGAUGACAUUUUAUGUACGUAGGAGUUCACACAAUCGUUCAUCUUGUUGCAGUUGAUAGAAGAGGAUGAAGUGAAAGUCUCCAGCUAAAGAAAGAAAGAAAGACUCGUUGACGGUUGGUUCAAUAUUCAGUUGCUGGGUUAUAAAUUCAAAAAAGGUGAGUCAGUUAGUCA